GCAAACUGACCAGGAAUUCUGUCAUGUUUUGAAGGAAGCUGCAAGAAGUGACACA
rnacentral:SRP_RNA from 1 species